AAACCAACAGGGAUUGCCUCAGUAGCGGCGAGUGAAGCGGCAAAAGCUCCAUUUUGAAAGCUCUUCGGAGCGUUGUAGAUUGGUGGGAAGCUAACGGCUGGUGGGAGACCAAGUCCUCUGGAACGAGGCGCCAUAGAGGGUGAGAGCCCCGUGUGUCUCCUUUACCGACCUUUCAGCCCCCUCCGCGGAGUCGAGUUGUUUGGGAAUGCAGCUCUAAGUGGGUGGUAAAUUCCAUCUAAGGCUAAAUAUUGGCGAGAGACCGAUAGCGAACAAGUACAGUGAUGGAAAGAUGAAAAGCACUUUGAAAAGAGAGUGAAACAGUACGUGAAAUUGUUGAAAGGGAAGGGUAUUUGGCCCGACAUGGGUCCUAUGCACCGUUGCCUCUCGUGGGCGGCGCUUUGCUUGGGCCUGGGCCAGCGUCAGUUUGGAGGGGGCGAGAAGGGUUUUGGGGAGUUGCCUAGCAAUUCCCCUUUGCUAGAUUGCCCCACACCGGACUGAGGACCGCCAUCUGUAGGAUGCUGGCACAACGGCCAAAUACCGC
rnacentral:rRNA from 1 species